rnacentral:rRNA from 1 species
CCUACGGGUGGCUGCAGUGGGGGAUAUUGCACAAUGGGGGAAACCCUGAUGCAGCGACGCCGCGUGAGUGAAGAAGUAUUUCGGUAUGUAAAGCUCUAUCAGCAGGGAAGAAAAUGACGGUACAUGACUAAGAAGCCCAGGCUAACUACGUGCCAGCAGCCGCGGUACUACGUAGGGGGCAAGAGUGAUCCGGAUUUACUGGGUGUAAAAGGAGCGUAGACGGCGGAACAAGUCAGAAGUGAAAACCCGGGGCUCAACCCUGGGAGUGCUUUUGAAACUGUUUGGCUGGAGUGCAGGAGAAGUAAGCGGAAUUCCUAGUGUAGCGGUGAAAUGCGUAGAUAUUAGGAGGAACACCAGUGGCGAAGGCGGCUUACUGGACUGUAACUGACGUUGAGGCUCGAAAGCGUGGGGAGCAAACAGGAUUAGAUACCCCUGUAGUC